AGAUGCGGAGUCUCACUGUGUUGCAAAUUCCUGACCUCAAGUGAUCUUCCUGCCUGGGCCUCAAAGUGCGGGGAUUAUACGCAGGGGCCACUGCUUUCAGCCUUUAAAUUCUGUUAAAAACAGCGUUGGUGAGAAAGAAAAUGUCUACUUCCUGAGAAAGACUGAUAAGAAUCUAAAAGGCAUAAUUUUCUCAUAAAAGGGCAGCUGCAUAUGUUGGCAUGAUUGAUGAGAUCUGCUACAGUCAAGCAAGCAGCCCUGGGUGACCAGUUUACCCUUCCCUGCGAGGGUUCCAGCUGCCAGUUGCCCCCAUUCUGUGACAGCUUCUCCUUCUCCUCACCUUGUCAUCCAGCCAAGAUUGUACACUGUAGGAGUACAGGUGAGCAUCUGCCUCCAUAAUCAUUGCCAACAGCCCUCCAUUAUCAACUGCCAGGGGUGCUUCAAAGCAAUGUGGAGUUCUUUCUCUUGACACAGGGACCAAGUGUAUUUAUGCCUGAAACAAACUCUGCCUUUGCUGACUAGGGAAACUCACAUGUAAAAUGUUUUUUUUUAAUUGCAUCACAAAUCACUACAGUAUUAUAAAACAGGUCGUAG
rnacentral:lncRNA from 1 species